GCGGAAAUUGAGCGCGAUGAUGAUCUGGUUGAAGUAGAAUAAGAAGAGAAAUAAGGGAUACGACGGAGAGAAGUGGUGGUUUUGUGGAGUGAAAAGAGAGGUAUGUGGUGGCGAGUAGUGGUGGGAGGGCAGAGGAGAACCAUGGCGUUGGACGCCAUUGAUGAUUAACUUGUGGGAGUAACUUUAUCUCAUAUGCCACAAGGUAUGAAGUAUGUGUUCG
rnacentral:lncRNA from 1 species